rnacentral:rRNA from 1 species
CAGCCGCCACGGGAACACGAAGGGGGCUAGCGUUGCUCGGAAUGACUGGGCGUAAAGGGCGCGUAGGCGGCGAUCAAAGUCAGGCGUGAAAUUCCUGGGCUCAACCUGGGGGCUGCGUUUGAUACUUGAUUGCUAGAGUGGGGAAGAGGGUCGUGGAAUUCCCAGUGUAGAGGUGAAAUUCGCAGAUAUUGGGAGGAACACCGGUGGCGAAGGCGGCAACCUGGUCCAUUACUGACGCUGAGGCGCGAAAGCGUGGGGAGCAAACAGGAUUAGAUACCCCCGUAGUCCCUGUCUCUUAUAC